rnacentral:misc_RNA from 1 species
GCAAACUUGGUCAUUUAGAGGAAGUAAAAGUCGUAACAAGGUUUCCGUAGGUGAACCUGCGGAAGGAUCAUUAAUGAAUUUUAUGGCGGAAUUGUAGCUGGCCCCAAUCGGGCAUGUGCACAUUCUGUUCAUUCCAUUCUCAUACACCUCUGUGCACUUUUCAUAGGUUUGGUAUAGAAAAAGGUUCUCUACGGACUUUUGGACAUGCUGACCUAUGCUUUUACAAACGCUUCAGUUUUAGAAUGUCAUCUGCGUAUAACGCAACAAAUACAACUUUCAGCAACGGAUCUCUUGGCUCUCGCAUCGAUGAAGAACGCAGC